rnacentral:rRNA from 1 species
UGCACCGAAGCUGCGGCAGCGACACUAUGUGUUGUUGGGUAGGGGAGCGUUCUGUAAGCCUGCGAAGGUGGCCUGUGAGGGUUGCUGGAGGUAUCAGAAGUGCGAAUGCUGACAUAAGUAACGAUAAAGCGGGUGAAAAGCCCGCUCGCCGGAAGACCAAGGGUUCCUGUCCAACGUUAAUCGGGGCAGGGUGAGUCGACCCCUAAGGCGAGGCCGAAAGGCGUAGUCGAUGGGAAACAGGUUAAUAUUCCUGUACUUGGUGUUACUGCGAAGGGGGGACGGAGAAGGCUAUGUUAGCCGGGCGACGGUUGUCCCGGUUUAAGCAUGUAGGCUGGUUAUCCAGGCAAAUCCGGAUAAUCAAGGCUGAGGUGUGAUGACGAGGCACUACGGUGCUGAAGUAACAAAUGCCCUGCUUCCAGGAAAAGCCUCUAAGCAUCAGGUAACAUUAAAUCGUACCCCAAACCGACACAGGUGGUCAGGUAGAGAAUACCAAGGCGCUUGAGAGAACUCGGGUGAAGGAACUAGGCAAAAUGGUGCCGUAACUUCGGGAGAAGGCACGCUGGUGUGUAGGUGAAGCCCCUGCGGGUGGAGCUGAGACCAGUCGAAGAUACCAGCUGGCUGCAACUGUUUAUUAAAAACACAGCACUGUGCAAACACGAAAGUGGACGUAUACGGUGUGACGCCUGCCCGGUGCCGGAAGGUUAAUUGAUGGGGUUAUCCGUAAGGAGAAGCUCUUGAUCGAAGCCCCGGUAAACGGCGGCCGUAACUAUAACGGUCCUAAGGUAGCGAAAUUCCUUGUCGGGUAAGUUCCGACCUGCACGAAUGGCGUAAUGAUGGCCAGGCUGUCUCCACCCGAGACUCAGUGAAAUUGAACUCGCUGUGAAGAUGCAGUGUACCCGCGGCAAGACGGAAAGACCCCGUGAACCUUUACUAUAGCUUGACACUGAACAUUGAGCCUUGAUGUGUAGGAUAGGUGGGAGGCUUUGAAGCGUGGACGCCAGUCUGCGUGGAGCCAACCUUGAAAUACCACCCUUUAAUGUUUGAUGUUCUAACGUUGGCCCCUUACCGGGGUUGCGGACAGUGUCUGGUGGGUAGUUUGACUGGGGCGGUCUCCUCCCAAAGCGUAACGGAGGAGCACGAAGGUUAGCUAAUCCUGGUCGGACAUCAGGAGGUUAGUGCAAUGGCAUAAGCUAGCUUGACUGCGAGCGUGACGGCGCGAGCAGGUGCGAAAGCAGGUCAUAGUGAUCCGGUGGUUCUGAAUGGAAGGGCCAUCGCUCAACGGAUAAAAGGUACUCCGGGGAUAACAGGCUGAUACCGCCCAAGAGUUCAUAUCGACGGCGGUGUUUGGCACCUCGAUGUCGGCUCAUCACAUCCUGGGGCUGAAGUAGGUCCCAAGGGUAUGGCUGUUCGCCAUUUAAAGUGGUACGCGAGCUGGGUUUAGAACGUCGUGAGACAGUUCGGUCCCUAUCUGCCGUGGGCGCUGGAGAAUUGAGGGGGGCUGCUCCUAGUACGAGAGGACCGGAGUGGACGCAUCACUGGUGUUCGGGUUGUCAUGCCAAUGGCACUGCCCGGUAGCUAAAUGCGGAAGAGAUAAGUGCUGAAAGCAUCUAAGCACGAAACUUGCCCCGAGAUGAGUUCUCCCUGAGACUUUAAGUCUCCUGAAGGAACGUUGAAGACGACGACGUUGAUAGGCCGGGUGUGUAAGCGCAGCGAUGCGUUGAGCUAACCGGUACUAAUGAACCGUGAGGCUUAACCUU